rnacentral:rRNA from 1 species
GUCGAACGCUGAAGCCCCAGCUUGCUGGGGUGGAUGAGUGGCGAACGGGUGAGUAACACGUGAGUAACCUGCCCCCGACUUCGGGAUAAGCCCGGGAAACUGGGUCUAAUACCGGAUAUGACCAACGCUCGCAUGAGUGUUGGUGGAAAGUUUUUUCGGUUGGGGAUGGGCUCGCGGCCUAUCAGUUUGUUGGUGAGGUAAUGGCUCACCAAGACGACGACGGGUAGCCGGCCUGAGAGGGCGACCGGCCACACUGGGACUGAGACACGGCCCAGACUCCUACGGGAGGCAGCAGUGGGGAAUAUUGCACAAUGGGGGAAACCCUGAUGCAGCGACGCAGCGUGCGGGAUGACGGCCUUCGGGUUGUAAACCGCUUUCAGCAGGGAAGAAGCCCUUCGGGGUGACGGUACCUGCAGAAGAAGUACCGGCUAACUACGUGCCAGCAGCCGCGGUAAUACGUAGGGUACAAGCGUUGUCCGGAAUUAUUGGGCGUAAAGAGCUCGUAGGUGGUUGGUCACGUCUGCUGUGGAAACGCAACGCUUAACGUUGCGCGUGCAGUGGGUACGGGCUGACUAGAGUGCAGUAGGGGAGUCUGGAAUUCCUGGUGUAGCGGUGAAAUGCGCAGAUAUCAGGAGGAACACCGGUGGCGAAGGCGGGACUCUGGGCUGUAACUGACACUGAGGAGCGAAAGCAUGGGGAGCGAACAGGAUUAGAUACCCUGGUAGUCCAUGCCGUAAACGUUGGGCACUAGGUGUGGGGGGCAUUCCACGUUCUCCGCGCCGUAGCUAACGCAUUAAGUGCCCCGCCUGGGGAGUACGGUCGCAAGGCUAAAACUCAAAGGAAUUGACGGGGGCCCGCACAAGCGGCGGAGCAUGCGGAUUAAUUCGAUGCAACGCGAAGAACCUUACCAAGGCUUGAC